rnacentral:lncRNA from 1 species
CAUACAAAGGGCCUGAAGAACUUCUCUUGAGAGUUAAAUAGACAUUUAUUCCCCCAACGUUCACCCUAAAGUCCCAGGGUGGGUUACAGUAUUAAAACACAAUAUAAAAACGAUUUUAAACAACUUACAACUGUAAAAAUAAGGUGGGUCCUAAAAACAUACACCUCAAGUUUCAACGGCCAGGGUAAGCAGGUGCAUAUUCAGCAUUCUCCGAAAGCUGAGUAAUGAAGGUGCCAGAUGCAUCUCUGAGGGAAUGGAGCUCCACUGCAAAGGGGCCCCUACAGAACCCCUGGACCUCUGAGGGUAGAGGAACUACCAAGGGGGCCCCUUAGCUCCUGAGAGGGUCUGUAGGGAAAGAGGUGGCCUUUUACAUAUUUGGGGCUCGAGUCAUUAUUGGUUACAAGCCAGUCAACUCUUCCUGGAUAGCUGGAUGUAUGCAAUGUUACAAACAAUAAAUCAACACACAAGCACAAGUUUCGCAAAUUCCAUUUUACCAUAUAGAUGUUCUGAACCUAUACUCUUUAUGGGUCUGCUACAUACACUCAUAUACAAAUGCAAACCUACACCAACCCACCCCAGUACCAAAAUGAAAGCAUACAGGGUUUUAUGGACUAAAUAAGGUUUAGCUAGAUGAUAUGCUCCAGUUAGUAAAACUUUUAUUUUGGACCCUGUCAGCCUCUUCCUUUCUUUUCCAGAUGCUGAAAACCAGGACUCAUCUUGGAAACGACCUUUGAAAAGGCAUUCAGAAUAGCACAUAUCCACUUCUUUAUUGUCAUUCCUUCAGCUGUUUAGAGGCCCCUCAGUUCUUACCACAAAGCUAGAUGAAAUAUUAUUCUUACUGCAGCACAUAUGGGCAAAUAUAUUCAUGAGUGAGAUGAUCCCGCCACUGUCCUUCCUUCUCUUUCAACAGCACCAUCACCGUUUCCUCCAACAGUGCAGUCAUCAUGUCCUCCCCACACCCCAUGUUUACUUGAAGGUCCCACCAGCUUUCCUUCCACUGAUAAUAGACCUUAUAGGGAAGAGGGACAGUAGGAUCAAAGAAAAAACCUGGAUCCAUCCAUAACCCCAGCAGCGUAGCAUAGGGUUGCCAGAGGUGUCAUGGCCCCAGGCAUAGAUUUUUUAGGGGGGCCCCAGUGCAGCCCCACCUAGCGCUCCUCUCCCAGUCUUGGAGUUACCAGUGCUCACAGAGAGGAGCACCAAGACAGGCUGCACUGGGGGAGUGGGCGUGGAGGUGCCUGUUCUGUGCCCACCAGGAGCUGUGUCAGCUGGCCAGACUCUCUCCAGUGAGGGUGCCAGGAGGGCAGACGGCUCAGCGCACCCUUGCUUAGCUCUGGUGCAAGGUGCGGUUGGUCUGGUGAGGACGGUGGUGCCACAGCAGGCUCCUUCACCCUCUGCCCCCAUCCCCCAGUGCCUGCGCCCACCCCCAUGCACCUCUCUGGUGCCCACCUCGGGUGUCAUUUGCUCAUGCAAGGUCGCUGCAUCACCCAUGGAAUAGUGAGCCUACCUGAAAGAGCCCAAAACUGCACUCUUAAUUUACCUCAGGAACACUAACAUUGUAUGCAUUUUUACUCAGAAGCAAGCUCCUCCAUGUUCAAUGGGUGUUACUCCUUGAUAAGGACUGUAUCUUAUUUCACCAAAUAUGAAUAUAGUAUGCAUAAAUAAGGGGUGGGAGGUGGGGAAGGAAAGGAAAAUAUUCAGAGGCUGCCUAAAUGUAUUAAACGUCUUGAAGAAGAAUGCCAGGAAUCUUGUUCUGAACUGGCAGACUGUAUUUUAAUGCAGGAAAUUAUCUCUGAAACGUUACAAAACAUUAGAAAAUCACCCCAUUCUUUCUGUCACUUUAAAAUAAAUGAAGGCAGGUUGUCAAGAUGAUUGCCCUCAUGUUCUGCGCUGCUAAUGCAUAUGAAACAGAUUUAAUAGGGAGGUUUCAUUUCAACAAAUUUACAAAUCAACAGUAAAUGCACCAAUAUAUUUUUAUUUACCCUGCAAAUGGAGGACAGUCGCUUAAAGAGCUAUCUAGAGCUUCCAGCAAACCAGUACCUACAGCUGUGAUGCUUAGUACAAGUGGCAUGCAAAUGCUAGAGGACACUGUUUUAAAGAAAAACUACUUUUGAACAAGUAGAAUUGGAUUGUAAUCGUGAUGGAAGAGGGGAUAUCUAACAUGGGCUUGUGAGAGAAGACAAGUUCUUGACAACCCCGGGAAGUGGGAAGGUAGGCUGUGACAGGGGGCAUGAUUUGGAGUGGUAAAGCAGUGGAUAAGGGUAAGGUUAUGUGUCACUAAUGUGCUCUCCCCACACUUCUCCACUACAAGUAUAUUUCCCCAAAAGCAGCUUUUCUUUUCUUAUCUUAAAAAAAAAGUUUCAGGGUUCUUCUACAUUCAGGUUCGUGCCAUGUAGUUUUCUCAUAACCACAGUAAUUCAAAGCACCCACACAACAGCCCAGGUUGCACAUCAUGCUCAGACAAAUCUUGGCUUAGUGAGGUAGGUUUCCAGAGAGCAGCUUGCAGCUAAAUGGAGUUUUUGCCAGUGCACAAUAUGUUUUAGGCUGUACAUAGUUCUAGAAACAUCAUCUAUCCUAUCUAUCCUGCUAUUCCUUACAUUAAGGAAGGGCAGCAGUGAUCACUACUUUAGAAAACUUCUCCACAUAAAAGCAAUGACUUGCAAAUUGUGUAAUCAAAUAAUAAUUGAGUUUGGAGGUACUUAAGCUAAGGCCCUCAAGAUUAUGUUGCUGUAUAACAGUGUUCUCGAAGCUACAAACAUGAGUCUGACCAAACUGCGGGAGACAGUGGAAGACAGAAGUGCCUGGCGUGCUCUGGUCCAUGGGGUCACGAAGAGUCGGACACGACUAAACGACUAAACAACAACAACAAAUAACUCCCAUCAGGCUCAGGUCAGCAUGGCCAAUGGUCAGGGGUGAUGGCAGAUGUAGUCCAAUAACAACAAAACAACACAAACUGUAAUUCCAUGGGAUUACAGUAUAGCUCAUCUGUUAGGGAAACAAGCAAGCAAGCAGGAGUGGGCAUGAAAAGGGGAUGAUGGAGAUUAAGAAAAGACCCAUAGUGAUCAGGUGAAAAACAAACCUAUAGGUUUCACCAAAUGAACACAAAAAUUAAUUGUCUGAAUGGCUGUCUAAUGAUAUAUAUCAUGAAGCUCCUCCAGAUCUGCAAUGGGUGUGUUGACUUUCUUGAAAUGGCAGCAAACAGGGCUAUUGUGAACCGAUUGUCCAGUGUAAUAAUUGAUGCAUCUUUCCAACUUUAAGAUAUGACUGGGCAAGUGGCAAUCACCUUUUUAAAUACAAUGGGUCUUAUACCCAGAUGUUGCAAAUAUUUGUAAUAUUCCACCUUUGCUUAACACUUCUAAGAAUUGUGUGUUGUUGUACUCCAUUCAGCAUCUUAUCUCACAGUCAACCAGGACAGGAGUAACCUCACAAAAAGACAGACAUUAAAAGUCAGGGCUAUUAAAUGGAAUCCUCCACGUCAUUUACUACAAGUGUUUCUAAAAAUAUCUGGCAAAGUGGGUUGAUUAUUCUAAGUUCAUGCACUUUGCCAGAACAGAUGGGCUGCUUCAGGCUCACUAAGUGACCUUUCUCACACUGAUUUGCAGCGUUUUGUGUGCGUCUGCUUUUCUCAGAAGCCAGAGCCUCACAGGAUCCAUGACCACGCAGGAGACUUGUGAGAACUAGGCCCUGGUGGACCAUGGCAAGCCUCUGAGGUCAUGAAGUCAUCCAUUACAGCAUGGCAUAUGUAUCUCCACCCCCCAGCCCUGCUUACCACAGGCUGUGCAGCUGGAGAUAUGGGAACCUUGUUCAUGUUUUUCUCUUCCUCUAGGGAAUGGGGUGGGAUGGGGAGCAAGCAAGUCUGCAAAUGGACACAAACCAAACAGGUAUAAAGUAGUGGGAGAACAUAGCAUGCCCGGUAUGUAGAACAACUCACUUCUAGGAAUCUUCCUAAAAUGAUACAGUAUGUAAUAUAUUGAACUCAGGUCUUCAUUUUAAGGAUUCCGUGCAGUUUAAACUAUGAUGGUCCAAAGAAACUUCCUUAAGUGAAGACAUGAUUAAUAUUGUGGUUCAUUUGGAGAUGUGGGUAGAAAAGUAAUUUAUACAUGCCUGCCAUGCAUGUAUAACAUCUACUAUAGCAGUGGGGGAUCUCUGGCUCACAGACCAAUCUUGGCUUACCAUGGGAUCAAAUCUGGCCCACAAGGCC